rnacentral:rRNA from 1 species
CCCUUAGAUGUCCUGGGCCGCACGCGCGUUACACUGAUGCAUUCAACGAGCUUAUAACCUUGGCCGAGAGGCCUGGGCAAUCUUGUUAACGUGCAUCGUGAUAGGGAUAGAUUAUUGAAAUUAUUAAUCUUGAACGAGGAAUUCCUAGUAAACGCAGAUCAUCAAUCUGCAUUGAUUACGUCCCUGCCCUUUGUACACACCGCCCGUCGCACCUACCGAUUGGAUGGUCCGGUGAAGCCUCGGGAUUGUGGUUCUUGCCGCUUUAUUGUGGCGUUACCGCGAGAACUUGUCUAAACCUUAUCAUCUAGAGGAAGGUGAAGUCGUAACA